UACAGAGGGUGCGAGCGUUAAUCGGAAUUACUGGGCGUAAAGCGUGCGUAGACGGUUAUUUAAGUCGGGUGUGAAAGCCCCGGGCUCAACCUGGGAAUUGCAUUCGAGACUGAAUAGCUAGGGUACGGUAGAGGGAAGUGGAAUUUCCGGUGUAGCGGUGAAAUGCGUAGAUAUCGUAAGGAACAUCAGUGGCGAAAGCGACUUCCUGGACCAGUACCGACGUUCAGGCACGAAAGCGUGGGGAGCAAACAGG
rnacentral:rRNA from 1 species